GACGAACGCUGGCGGCGUGCCUAAUACAUGCAAGUUGAGCGCUGAAGGUUGGUACUUGUACCAACUGGAUGAGCAGCGAACGGGUGAGUAACGCGUGGGUAAUCUGCCUUUGAGCGGGGGACAACAUUUGGAAACGAAUGCUAAUACCGCAUAAAAACUUUAAACACAAGUUUUAAGUUUGAAAGAUGCAAUUGCAUCACUCAAAGAUGAUCCCGCGUUGUAUUAGCUAGUUGGUGAGGUAAAGGCUCACCAAGGCGAUGAUACAUAGCCGACCUGAGAGGGGGAAGCGGCCAAAUGGGAAUGAGAAAAGGCCCAAAAUCCUACGGGAGGCAGCAGUAGGGAAUCUUCGGCAAUGGACGAAAGUCUGACCGAGCAACGCCGCGGGAGGGAAGAAGGUUUUCGGAUCGUAAAACUCUGUUGGUAGAGAAGAACGUUGGUGAGAGUGGAAAGCUCAUCAAGUGACGGUAACUACCCAGAAAGGGACGGCUAACUACGUG
rnacentral:rRNA from 1 species